GACCACCCCAUCUUCAAGGAUUCUCCCACCCAGUGCUGCGAGCAAGCAUACCUCCAAAUGGAUGAACAUCACUGGCCUUACGGAGUACGCUAAUCAACAAAUAAGACCUGAGGGGAAAAAUAUGCUGCAUCUACCCCUCAUCUAGCUGGUUGACAACAAGCUUGUAUCAGCCCGUAUCUGUCCACUCGGAACAGCUCGAUCAGGCAAUCCAGCAACCUCCCUCGGCCACCAAGUACAUACCUAUACUCCGUACUUCUCUUGUAGUUUACCUAGGAAGUGCCCCCAUCGUGUAACAAGGAAGUUCACACUUAUGACGUCAUUGUGGCUCCAUAUCAGCAAGGCGUCUUGGCGGGGGCUGCGAUAUCCACCACACUAGAUCACAUGCAGUCUAGUUCACUGCAGCCAAGAUGAAUUCAGCCGCUCUUUACCCCUGUGAUCUCAGAUUCUUGGCAAUGACGUCACUCAGACUUAUCUUUCCGCGGCUUCAAAAAAAAAAAAAGAAAGAAAGAAAAAAGAAAAAAGAAAAAAC
rnacentral:sRNA from 2 species